AUGGAUACGACCGCGGCGACGACGAGACGUCUCAUGAGGAUGAGGCUCGGCUGCUGCAUCUCCGGUGUUCUUGUGCUGUCGUUCCUGCUCCCCAGCGCCCUCGCCGAGGAGCGAUUCUACGAGUUCGUGGUCCAAGAGACGGUGGUGAAGAGGCUGUGCCAGACGAACAAGAUCAUCACGGUCAACGGGCAGUUCCCGGGGCCGACCAUCGAGGUCCACGACGGCGACACGCUGGCGAUCAAGGCCGUCAACAGGGCGCAGUACAACGUGACCCUCCACUGGCACGGCCUCCGGCAGCUCCGGAACGGGUGGGCGGACGGGCCGGAGUUCGUGACGCAGUGCCCCAUCCGGCCGGGGUCCAGCUACACAUACCGGUUCAGGGUCCAGGAGCAGGAGGGCACCCUGUGGUGGCACGCGCACAGCUCCUGGCUGCGCGCCACCGUGCACGGCGCGCUCGUCAUCCUCCCCAAGCGCGGCCGCCCCUACCCGUUUCCCAAGCCCGCCAAGGAGAUCCCCGUCGUCCUGGCGGAGUGGUGGAGGAGGGACCCCAUCGCGGUGCUCAGGCAGUCCAUGGUCACCGGCGCAGGGCCCAACGUCUCCGACGCCAUCCUCAUCAACGGCCAGCCCGGAGAUUUCCUCCAGUGCUCCAGCCAAGAGACCAGCAUCAUCCCGGUGGUCGCCGGCGAGACGAACCUGCUGCGCAUCAUCAACGCGGCCAUGAACUCGGAGCUCUUCGUCUCGCUCGCCGGCCACAAGAUGACCGUGGUGGCCGCCGACGCCAUGUACACCAAGCCCUUCGAGACCACCGUCGUGCUCCUUGGUCCAGGACAGACCACCGACGUCCUCGUCACGGCCCACGCCGCCCCUGGCCGCUACUACCUCGGCGCCCGCGUCUACGCCUCCGCUCGGGGCGUCCCCGUGGACAACACCACAGCCACCGCCAUCUUCCAGUACAAGAACGCUGCCGCAGGCGCAGGCGCUGGAGCACCAAUGUUCCCUGCUAUGCUGCCGGCCAACAACGACACGGCCACGGCCACCGCCUUCUCCAACAGCAUCCGGAGCCCGAGGCCGGUGAAGGUUCCCGGGCCAGUGACGCAGGAGGUGUUCACCACGGUCGGGUUCGGCCAGUUCAGCUGCCGGCCGGGCCCCUUCUGCCAGGGCCCCAACAGCACCCGGCUGGGCGCGAGCAUGAACAACGUGUCGUUCCAGCUCCCCAGCACCGUGUCCCUGCUGCAGGCGCACUACGGCCGCAUCCCCGGCGUCUUCACCGACGACUUCCCGGCUCGGCCGCCGGUGGCCUUCGACUACACCUCGCAGAGCGUCCCCCGCGCGCUGUGGCAGCCGGUCAAGGGCACGCGGCUGUACCGCGUCAGGUACGGCGCCGUGGUGCAGAUGGUGUUCCAGGACACGGGCAUCUUCGCGGCGGAGGAGCACCCCAUGCACAUCCACGGCUACCACUUCUACGUGCUCGCCACCGGGUUCGGCAACUACGACCCGAGGCGGGACGCGGGCAGGUUCAACAUGGUUGACCCGCCCAGCCGGAACACCAUCGGCGUGCCCGUCGGCGGCUGGGCCGUCGUGCGCUUCGUGGCGGACAACCCGGGGGUGUGGCUGGUGCACUGCCACAUCGACGCGCAUCUCUCCGGCGGGCUCGCCAUGGCGCUGCUGGUGGAGGACGGCAAGACGGAGCUCCAGGCCACGGUGCCGCCCCCGCUCGACCUGCCCAUCUGUGGCCUCUAA
rnacentral:rRNA from 1 species